UCAGGUUUAAUAGCCAUUACUAAAACAAAUGACCCAUUCGAAGAGAAACCACUAGUCACUUUGCAAAUCAACUUCUCUCAAGUCUCACCCAUCAAGGCAGAAAGGCUCGUCGUUUGACAUGGUCAUUAACGACCAUCAUUCAUUCGAAGCGCCUAAAAAAUAUCAAAGGCAGAUAGAUUCUGCUUCUGCUAUCACAACAUUGAACAGCAAACAACAAUAGCCUGAGCUUGGUCUGGUCUGUAAUGAAACCUUAGAGACAGCCAUGGAAACACUCUCUCCUUCAUUAUCCAUCUCCAGUCUCACCUCCAUAUCCAAGAAACUCCCGGUUAAAGCUUCAAGUUUCAAACUUUACAGCCCUAUAAAGAACAAGAACCACAUAAAAACCCAUUCUUUAUCUUCUUCUUCUUCAUUCAUUUCUUUAUCAACAAAAGCCACAACAACAUCAACAUGUACUCCAACUUCAACUAAAACUAACAAACACUGGAUGAUUCUAAUGGAAAGUCCCCCAAAGGGUGUCAAUUCAAAGCCAGAAAUCAUUGAUUACUACGUCAAGACUCUAGAGAGAGUAAUAGGCAGUGAGAAGGAUGCUCAAAUGUGUAUGUAUGAUUCUUCUUGUGACACUCGUUUUGGGUUUUGUUGCGAUAUUGAUGAAGAUGCUUCCCUUGAACUUGCCAGGCUGCCUGGGGUUAUAUCAGUUAGGCCUGACCCGGAUUAUAAUUCCGCGGAAAAAGAUUAUAGUUUAGGUGUCAGGUUGAGUACAUUAUCAAAUCCACAAAUUGGAAGCAAUUUGUUGUUUCCUGCAGGGAAUACAAAACAUUGGCUGGUUAAAAUUGAUAAGCCAGCAGUUGGAGUUGUUACAAAGGCACAAAUGGUUGAUUAUCAUGAUCAAAUACUAACCAAGGUCAUGGGAAACGAGAAGGAUGCUCAAAUGUGUAUAUAUCAUGUUUCAUGGCAAUCGAAUUUUGGGUUCUGUUGUGAACUUGACGAGGAAUGUGCACAGGAGCUAGCUGGUGUCCCUGGUGUUUUAUCUGUUCAGCCAGAUAAGAAUGUUGAGUCAGAAAACAAGGAUUAUGGAGGCGAUCACAUAAUCAAUUCAGCAGAUUCUUCGGAAGCAAGUCAGACAACUCCUGUAAAAACAAAGAAACUUUUUAUUACUGGUCUGUCAUUUUAUACUUCUGAGAAAACCUUGCGCGCAGCAUUUGAGGGCUUUGGUGAGCUUGUCGAAGUUAAAAUAAUAAUGGACAAGAUUUCUAAGAGGUCCAAGGGAUAUGCAUUUGUAGAGUACACGACAGAGGAGGCUGCAAGUGCAGCCCUCAAGGAGAUGAAUGGCAAGAUCAUCAAUGGUUGGAUGAUUGUUGUUGAUGUUGCCAAAAGCAACCCACCAGGAUACAGCAGGGGUCAACCAAGACCAACAGCCUGAGAGAGAGGUAGGAGGCGUCAGCCCUUCUGGUGGUGGAUCAUUAUAAUUGCCAGCCACGUGAAAUUUGUGCACUGAAUUCUUGGUUCAUAGGAAAACUGCAGUCAUUUCCUCAUCUUGCCAAGAGCUGUGCUUCCACUCCAUCAAAGUCAUCAGCCCUCUUCUCCAAACUCCUUUGUGAAUCUCUCAUGCACCUCAAGAUCAGCUUUACUCACUGUUGGCUUCUGCCGUGCAAGCACUUUGUUGAAAUCUGCUCUUGUGAUGGGUGGUGGAAGGACCUGCAAAGUCAUUGAUCUCAAAUGCAUCUUGUCAUUGUUUGUCACCAAAAAGAGGAUGCAUGCAGCUAGAAGUCACAAAUUAAAAUGAAUCUCCCACGAAGCCAGCCAUUCUAGGGGGGGGGGGGGGGGGGGCUUGGGGUUAUAAUCAUGAAUCAUGCAUGUUAAAUUAUGAAUCAUGAUAACAUGUCUCUCCUCUUGUAGAAUUCAAACAGUGUUUCUCCUAGGCGCAACCACAGAAGCAGUGGUAGUGCUAAUUUUUGGGAAUAUUUUCCAAGUUGAACCCUCUGCAAUAGUGUUUUAUUCAGUCCACCAUACCUUUGAAGCAA